GAUGAAGAACGCAGUGAAAUGCGAUACUUGGUGUGAAUUGCAGAAUCCCGUGAACCAUCGAGUCUUUGAACGCAAGUUGCGCCUCAAGCCAUUAGGUUGAGGGCACGUCUGCCUGGGCGUCACAUAUCGUUGCCUGAUGCCAGUUUCCUCGUGAUGGGUGACUGUGCAGGGCGAAUGAUGGCUUCCCGUGAGCAUUGUUGCCUCAUGGUUGGUUGAAAACUGAGUCCUUGGUAGGGAGCGCCGUGAUAGAUGGUGGUUGAGUGACGAACGAGACCCAAUCAUGUGAGACCCCUACCGAAUUUGGCCUUCAUGACCCACAUGCGUCUUUGGAACGCUCAUGACGAGACCUCAGGUCAGGCGGGGCUACCCGCUGAGUUUAAGCAUAUCAAUAAGCGGAGGA
rnacentral:misc_RNA from 1 species